rnacentral:sRNA from 1 species
GCUCCAGGCUUCUCUUGGGCAUUUCCUCCCCAGACUUGGAGUCAUCAGUUUCUCGGGGAGCUCUGGUUUUAUUUAGU